rnacentral:misc_RNA from 1 species
GAUGAAGAACGCAGCGAAAUGCGAAAAGUAAUGUGAAUUGCAGAAUUCAGUGAAUCAUCGAAUCUUUGAACGCACCUUGCACCCUUUGGCAUUCCGAAGGGUAUGCUCGUUUGAGUGUCAUUGUACUCUCACACUCUCCGAUCCUAUGGAUUCGGGGAGCGGUGGACUUGGGUGUUGCUGCCUUUCCCUGUGGCUCACCUCAAAUGCGUCAGUGCACCUCUUGGUUGGACAUAGUACGGCGUGAUAAGUGUCUUCGCCGGCACCUCGCAAGAGGGUGGCCGAUCGGGAGCUCUGCGCUUUCAAACCGUCUUCGGACAAUUUCUGACAUCUUGACCUCAAAUCGAGUAGGACUACCCGCUGAACUUAAGCAUAUCAAUAAGCGGAGGA